ACUGAUAGGUAUUGAUCUGCCACAGAAGCACCAAUCACACCAUGUUCCUCUCAGAGCUCAUGGUGUUUCCGUCAAGUGAUGACACCAUUCUUUUCUAGUCAGAGUUCAUGGGAAUGACACCAGUCAUGGAGAGACAGCUACAUUCACUUGAUACUGAUAUUACAAGGGAAGUGGAAAUGGAACUAAACCAAAAACUAUUAGAGUACAGCAGUUCUAAUAUUAUGGUUAAUGAUCAAAAUGAUUGUGGCUGUUAACUGUCAGUGAACCUCGCCGAGGCGGGCUGGCAACACCGCUACCAGACCCUUCAUUGAUGCAGGUGUCGACGCCUGCGUCACCUUGACCUAGCGGUAGAGGGGCAGAGCCAUGAGUGUCUGUAUCGCCAUCAGGCUACUACCCCCAGCCUAGUGGUAGCAGGGUGGUGCUGUCGACGUCCACAUCACCUCUGCCUAGCGGUAGCAGGGCGGUACUGUCGACCUGAUGCCCAUCAAUCCGUCCUGGCCCUAAACAGCAGACGAUUUCCUGGAGUGGAGGAGUUGGAGGCAUGAGCGGAUGCUGGAUGAACUAGGGAGAUGCCAAGGAGCCAGAGCGGAAUGUGUAAUACGGUCUCAUUCUAGUGGCUGCAUCAGGGGAACAGUUUCCAAAAUACGCCAGAGCGCGGGUACUGGGGGCAGUGAAGAAACAACUGUCUAGAUGAGGUCCAGCGAGGCACGCCUUGCCAGCAAGCGUGCUGCAAGUCACCACGUGAGAAGCUGCCCCCGCCCCCUAUUGCCUCCCCCACACCAUCUCCACUCUGGCGUCCAUGGGCCACCCUCCCUCUGGCAAGCAUAUCAGGGCUGCAGCUACAGCAACAACCAAGCUGCUCGCACUGGCCUGAUACAGCAGUGUCUCCUCCUCCUCCUCCUCCUCCUCCUCCUCCUCCUCGUCCUCCUACACAUACUUCUCCUUGCCAGUCUCACAAGGUAUGGGACAUACCCCUCAACACAGCACUGGAAGCACGUUCAUCAUCUAGUUGUAGUAAUAUUAGUGUUAGUACUCCUGUGGCAAGCGGCAGUUCUCUCGCCCAUUCUUUUAGUGAAUGACAUCAGAUUAGGGACACCAUACCACAGUUAGAAUACUCAAUGACUGCAGACGCCUUUUAGGAGUGAAUCUCAAUCACUAGAAUCGCGAAUCCAGCACGAGGGUACCCUGACCCUAUUGGGUUUCUAAGAGCAUCCUAUCCUUGAUGGAAAUGGAGCUCCCCAAGGUCGUUAAUGGUCUGCUGUAUCCCGCCAUUAAAUGCAGUGCAGUACUCUGCAUUGAAUGUUGCAGACGCCCCCCCCCCCCCCUCCAAGUUGCCUCUGGAAUUGAAGAGACAAGUCUUCUUUAUCUUUGGGUGGGAUAACAGUGUGAUAAUGCAGAGCACAUCAAUCACUGAGUGGUUUCGUGAAUCCACCUGGAGAGCUAUGCUAGCCCUUUUCUCCAAGAUGGAAUUCAGGGAGUCAGCUAAAGCACUCAUCCGAAUACUACACCUGGACAUCUAUACACAUUUCUGUGAUCUGCUAAAUGGAUGGUCCAGUUAUAUCAAGCCCCCUAAGGAUAUAGCUGGAAAGAGGGCAUGUAUUAAUGUCAAAAAUGAAAAGGAUCAAACUUGUUUUGUAUGGACAAUCCUGGCUUGUGAAACAAAUACUAAAGAGAAUCCAAAACCCACAUAUCAAUGUGGUAGAUACCUUGACAUUCAUAAGUAUUAUAACUUUGAUGGAAUGAGUUCCCCAUCAAGAUCCAGGACAUACCUAAAUUUGAGGCUCAGAAUACCGGAAUAUCGGUUCAUGUUUAUGGCCUGGAAAAGAAACACAAGUCAGGUGAGCAGAACAAGCAUAUAAUUGCCAGUGAGCAUAAAAUGCAUGGAAACAUGCUCUUAUUCUCUGAUGAGAAAAAUAAUUAGAAAGACAAUUAUCAUUAUGAUUGGAUCAAAGACAUGUUGUGCCUUCUCGCCUCCCAGAUGAGUAAAUAUGAACAUAAACAGCAUAUUUGCUUAUGGUGUCUGAAUUAUUUUUCCUCUGACAAGUUAUUAGCAGCACAUCCAUUAGAUUAUGGUUCCAAGGACCUGGUACGUGUUAUUAUGCUUACUGAAAAAGACAAACUCAUGAAGUUUAAUAAUGCUCACCAUCAAGAGUGAUCCCCAUUUGUGGUGUAUGGCAACUGUGAAUGCCUACUCUCUCCUGUGAGCUGCUGUGUGGGUAAACCUACAACCUCCAAUACUGCCUUCACAGAAAAACACAUACCAUAUAUGGCUGCAUACCAAAUUGUCUCUUCCUAUCAUUCAAGUUUUAACCACUAAAAAUCUUAUGUUACAGAUAAUCCUACGUUUUGGCUGCUUGCUGAGCUCGAAAAACUUUCAUGGGAGGUUGAUAAGCUUUACAGUGUCAACUUUCCCAUGAUCAAAUCGAAGGAGAAUGAAGAUUUGUACAGUAACACAUUUGAGCUGCUGUUAGAUAGAAAAGUGGAAAAUCCUUGUGUAGACCACUGUCAUCUUAUGGGGAAGUUCCAUGGCACAGUUCACAGUGCAUGCAAUUUGAAGUACCAGUUAUCAAGGCAUGUGACAUGCCUGAGAGUGUUGAGAAACGAAUGACACCAAGAAUUAUGCUCCGCUUCCUUGACAUUCUACGUUUUAUGCAGCAACCACUCCAGAAAUUCAUUGAAACUCUACCUCAAUAGGACGGGCACAUCACUUGAGCUGCAUUUCCCGCCGAGGAAAAGUUUCAACUUGUAACUAGGAAGGGGUUUUCCCAUACAAAUAUCUGGAUAGUAUGGCAAAACUCAACAAAACCAUGCUACCCGACAUAACUACAUUCUCCAGCAAUUGUAUAGUGAGGCCAUAACAGAUGCAGAGUAUGAUCAUGCCAUGAAUGUCUUCCAGGUAUUCAACAGCUCCACUCUAGGAGAGUACGCACAGCUUUAUGUGGACACAGACAUCUGCUUGCUUGUGGAUGUUUUAGAGAAAUGCAUAACCACAUAUUCUCUUGUUCCCGCCUUUUAUUACACGGCACCUGGUUUGUCUUGGGACGGCACACUCAAGGAAAUGAAGUGCAGCAUUGAAUUAAUGACCAAUGCUAACAUGCUUCUUUUCUUUGUAGUGAGGGAUCCAUUGAGUACUUUGCCAAUGUGUCCAUAGGCACACCAAGGCAAAUAACUCAUGGAUGGGUGACAGGUUCAACGUAUCUUUUGAUUGAGUUACAUCAUGUACUUGUGUGUAAAUAACUCAUAUGGGCAUGCCGUGUUGGGUGGAAAAAUUAUGUGAGGGUAUGGCAGAUGAUUCUGAUGUAGAGUAUGUGGUGGAGGCAGAACUCACAUACCCUAUUCAUUUGCAUGAUGUGCAUGCCAAUUUGCCACUGUGUCCAGAGCAACUAGCUCCACAAUGAGGAAUAAGCAGAGAUAUAUUAUUCAUUAUCAUAAUCUCCAGCAGUGUCUCAGCUUAGGGAUUGGGCUGGUUAGAAUCACUCGGGCUAUCUCCUUCAAGCAGUCCCCUUGGUUGAAGCAGUAUAUUGAUUUGAAUACAAGGCAGAGAGCUUCCACGGCAUGUGACUUUGAGAACGAUAUUUAUAAAUUAAUGAAUAAUCCAAUUUUCGGUAAAGAAUGGAAAAUUUUAUGGAAAUGCAUGAAAUUUUGAUUAGAACCUAAUGGGAUGUGCAUUAUAGUGCAAGAAAAAUGUAUUGCCAGACCAAAUUUUAAGUUGUUCACCAUAUUCAAUAAAAACUUUGUUGUUGUGGAGAUGGCAAAGACUUUAAUAGAGUUUAUGAAACCUAUUUAUGUGGGGAUGCCAGACCUAUCCAAACUCCACAUUUACCCCUUUCAUUAUGAGUUUGCAAAACCUCAUUUCACAAAUCCUAAAUUAUAUUAUAUGGAUACAGAUAGCUUCAUGUAUUGGGUGAAGAACUGCAACCAUAUGAAGUAAUGACGUACCAUGGUAAUGAAUUCGACAUGUAGUCAAUAAUCCUUAUGGUAUUGUUCCACCAAAUAGAUUGCUGAUUGUGGAGUUUGUAGGUCUGCAAUCAGAAAUGUAUGCAUAUCACACAUUGGAAGGUGCCACCCAGAGGUGAGCUAAGGGUAUGCAUCAUAUAGCAUUGAGAGCCCUCUCUAUCAAAGUCUAUAUGAAGUGCCUGUACAGUGGUGUUUACAGUGCUACACAGUAGUUGCCACAUAUGAUACAACGUAGUAUUCGAUCGAGAGGACACAUUGUGUACAUAGUACUCCAGUCUAAAAUUGGCCUGUUGCCUCAUUACGAUAAAAGAAUCAUUUUUGAUGAUGGGGAUGAAACACUACUGUACUCACACUAUUCCAUUGUAGUGAGAGAAGGGGUGGGGAAUGAGUGUGUGUGUGUGUGUGUGUGUGUGUGGUGUAAAUAUUUAUUUAUGUGAGGAAUGUGUAUUGUGUACACACACACACACACACACACACACACACACACACACACACACA